CCUACGGGAGGCAGCAGUGAGGGAUAUUGGUCAAUGGGGGAAACCCUGAACCAGCAACGCCGCGUGAGGGAAGACGGCUUUCGGAUUGUAACCCUCUGUCCUCUGUGAAGUUAAUGACGGUAGCAGAGGCGGAAGCUCCGGCUAACUACGUGCCAGCAGCCGCGGGAAUACGUAGGGAGCAAGCGUUUUCCGGAUUUACUGGGUGUAAAGGGGGCGUAGGCGGCCUUGCAAGUCAGAAGUGAAAUCCAUGGGCUUAACCGGUGAACUGCUUUUGAAACUGUAGGGCUUGAGUGAAGUAGAGGCAGGCGGAAUUCCCGGUGUAGCGGUGAAAUGCGUAGAGAUCGGGAAGAACACCAGUGGCGAAGGCGGCCUGCUGGGCUUUAACUGACGCUGAAGCACGAAAGCGUGGGUAGCAAACAGGAUUAGAUACCCUUGUAGUC
rnacentral:rRNA from 1 species